AAUUGGUCUUUGUAUUUCUUUCCUUGUUUAAUGGUUCCGAUUUGUUGUAUCUUAGGGAUGAAUAAUACAACAAUGAACAUGUUUACUGUGGAGUGAUUGCCUCAUCUUCCUGCUUUCCACUGGUUUACUUAGUCUGAUCCUUAAUAUCUGUCAUGUCAUCCAAUAUCAUGUAUUGAACUUUCCUUAUGUGUCCUCGCAGAAGACACGCCCGUCAAUUUCAGUUUCCUUGAGUAUUGACGUUCUACAUUUACCACAAGGCAUAUCCAGGCCACAGCUUAGUUCCGUGAACUGAGCGGCUGCUAAGGCAAAGCCAAGCUAAAGCUCAGUUCUGUGAACUGAGCAGACGCCAAAGGCAGACCCUUCAGUUCCGUUAACUGUAAGGCUGCUAAGGCAAAGGCAGGCAACCGUUUAGUUCCGUGAACUGAAAUGUUGCAAAGGCAGGCACCACUCAGUUCCGUGGACUGAGAGGCUGGAAAGAUGUGUGAUAAAUGAAGAACGUCUCACUAACCAGAACAGCUUCGGAAUAUAUACUAUGUAAGCUUCUCGAUCUUUCUCUCCUCUAUAACCAAAACUUGGUUUUCUCUUCUCGUUUUUUCAUUAAAUUGUCUGCUUUCUCGCUAUCUCACCGAUUCAGCAGGGAGAGUUUUUUAAGCAGAAUGCUUGCCGGGUAUGGUUUCACAAAAUAGUCCUGUUUAGCUUUUGUUGUAGUGCUGCUAGAUUAUUGGUACUCUGCUAUAUUAUUUGCCAUUUUUUUUUCUAGACUGCCGGAGUUUUUUGUUUUGCUAGUCGCAGGUCUAUCUUUCUUGUUCAAGGUUUCCGCCAUUUUCUGGUUAGAGUUUAGAGUCAUGCAUAUAACUGUCAUCUGGCGUAGAUUUUUGUUUCAAAUAAAAAAGUAAUCAUCUGUAAUUAACUCUAUACAAGGUCAAAAGGUAAACCUUAUGGACUCGAACUCUAUGUUUACUUUGUUGUGCAUAAAUUGUUUCUAACUUGAGCGUCGGAGUAUCUUUUUUGUUUUUUGCAGGUCUUGGCUUUUUAUUCCUGUUGACAGUUUCAUAAGUAGAGUUGUUGAAACAGUACGCCGCUUCUAGGGUAUGUCUGGAUUAGAAAAGGUCUUCUUAUUUGGAUGCCACUCAUUGGGGAGGAUUGCUAAUGUGGAAUGCCGGUGCUUGGUAGAGAAUGCUUGCCUGCUUGCUGUCAGGAGAUACAUGGAUUCAGAGAUCAGUAGAUUCCGUUGAAUAAUUGGGACAAGUCCCCAAUACCACAUUUGUUCGUGCAUACAUCUUAAUACAGGAGGAUAGAUGCUGAUUCAUUUGUUUGUGACUAAAAGAUUAGUAGAAUAUAGCCCUCGCAAAUUCACUUUGUUUAUGAGGUUUUUUGUUUUUCCUAGCUUUUUUUACCCCUUCAAGAAAUGGUGUAACAAUGACCUUGUUAUUAAGCUAUCCCAGCUUUUUGGA